rnacentral:rRNA from 1 species
AACAAACGCUGGCGGCGUGCCUAAUACAUGCAAGUCGAACGGGGAAAGCUUUCGGGUGAGUACUAGUGGCGCACGGGUGAGUAACGCGUGGAUAAUCUGCCUUAGAGUGGGGGAUAACUAGUCGAAAGAUUAGCUAAUACCGCAUAAGACCGCAAGAACUGCGGUUCAAGAGGUCAAAGUUUUUCGCUCUAAGAUGAGUCCGCGUAAGAUUAGCUAGUUGGUGAGGUAACGGCUCACCAAGGCAACGAUCUUUAACUGGUCUGAGAGGAUGAUCAGUCACACUGGAGCUGAGACACGGUCCAGACUCCUACGGGAGGCAGCAGUAGGGAAUAUUGCACGAUGGAGGAAACUCUGAUGCAGCGACGCCGCGUGAGUGAUGAAGGCCUUCGGGUCGUAAAGCUCUGUCGCAGGGGAAUAACACAAUGAAUGUACCCUGUAAGAAAGGAUCGGCUAACUUCGUGCCAGCCGCCGCCGUAAAAC